AUGACCCUCUUUGAUUUUUUUUCCCCUACUAAUGAUGAUACCCUUUUGAAACCAAAGCCACUAAAAAAACCUCAAUAGUUGAAUGAGUGAGAGUGAGAGUGAGAGAGAGAAAGUGAAUUGGCUCUACUGUUAACUUUCCAUAAAAGAACAUAUUAGAUGAAAAAGAGGAGGGGCCAAUGAAGAAGGUCAAAUAUAAGAAGUUCGGCGUUCAAAGUGGGGUCCACAGAACAGGGUACACCAAUUUGCGGAUGCCACGUUUGAGUCGGUGACCACGAAUGUAACGGCCGGGUAAUUUGAUGACCUCACCUCCAGAGUGGGGGCCCCACGCGCCGUUCAAACUUGUUAUAUACAAGGGAGAAAGACAAGUUGGACAAGAGUCAAAAGUCAACAAUUGCCACAUCUGCACAAUUAAGCCAAGUCAGCCGUAAAGUUCACGUGUGAAGAUCUGUAGAAAUAUCCAAGUCUGUUACGAUUCCUUCAUUCUUUGAUUUUUUUCCAUCUGUAUUGUCGAUCAAUUAUUGACUUGUUUUUGAAUAAUUGUUGUACCCCUCAAUUUAGGGUUUUGUUGUGUAUAAAAAUGCUUUUACAGCCUCUUGAAUAA